GGUGAAUUACGCGGCGGGGCUGUCGCCGUACGCGGACAAGGGCAAGUGCGGCCUUCCCGAGAUCUUCGACCCCCCAGAGGAGCUGGAGCGGAAGGUGUGGGAACUGGCGAGGCUGGUCUGGCAGUCCUCCAAUGUGGUGUUCCACACGGGUGCCGGCAUCAGCACUGCCUCUGGCAUCCCCGACUUCAGGGGUCCCCACGGAGUCUGGACCAUGGAGGAGCGAGGUCUGGCCCCCAAGUUCGACACCACCUUUGAGAGCGCGCGGCCCACGCAGACCCACAUGGCGCUGGUGCAGCUGGAGCGCGUGGGCCUCCUCCACUUCCUGGUCAGCCAGAACGUGGACGGGCUCCAUGUGCGCUCAGGCUUCCCCAGGGACAAACUGGCAGAGCUUCACGGGAACAUGUUUGUGGAAGAAUGUGCCAAGUGUAAGACGCAGUAUGUCCGGGACACAGUCGUGGGCACGAUGGGCCUGAAGGCCACGGGCCGGCUCUGCACCGUAGCUAAGGCAAGGGGGCUGCGGGCCUGCAGGUGAGCCACCCCCACCCUUGCCCUGGGCUCCAGGGGAGGCUGCGAGGCCCCUGCGGACUCUCCUCAGCUUCCUCAUUGCAGGGGAGAGCUGAGGGACACCAUCCUAGACUGGGAGGACUCCCUGCCCGACCGGGACCUGGCACUCGCCGAUGAGGCCAGCAGGAACGCCGACCUGUCCAUCACGCUGGGCACAUCGCUGCAGAUCCGACCCAGCGGGAACCUGCCGCUGGCUACCAAGCGCCGGGGAGGCCGCCUGGUCAUCGUCAACCUGCAGCCCACCAAGCACGACCGCCAUGCUGACCUCCGCAUCCAUGGCUACGUUGACGAGGUCAUGACCCGGCUCAUGAAGCACCUGGGGCUGGAGAUCCCCGCCUGGGACGGCCCCCGUGUGCUGGAGAAGGCGCUGCCACCCCUGCCCCGUCCGCCCACCCCCAAGCUGGAGCCCAAGGAGGAAUCACCCACCCGGAUCAACGGCUCUAUCCCCGCCGGCCCCAAGCAGGAGCCCUGCGCCCAGCACAACGGCUCAGAG
rnacentral:sRNA from 1 species